CCUACGGGUGGCAGCAGUGGGGAAUAUUGGACAAUGGGGGGAACCCUGAUCCAGCGAUGCCGCGUGAGUGAAGAAGGAUUUCGGUAUGUAAAGCUCUAUCUGCAGGGAAGAAAAUGACGGUACCUGACUAAGUAGCCCCGGCUAACUCCGUGCCAGCAGCCGCGGUAAUACGUCGGGGGCACGGGUUAUCCGGAUUGAUUGGGGGUAAAGGGAGCGUAGGGGGUUAUGCAAGUCUGAAGUGAAAGCGCAAGGCUCAACCAUGGGACUGCUUUGGAAACUGUAAAACUGGAGAGCAGGAGAGGGAAGCGGAAUUCCUAGUGUAGCGGUGAAAUGCGUAGAUAUUAGGAGGAACACCAGUGGCGAAGGCGGCUGACUGGCCUGUAGCUGACGUUGAGGCACGAAGGCGUGGGGAGCAAACAGGAUUAGAUACCCGAGUAGUC
rnacentral:rRNA from 1 species